ACAUCGCCUCUUGAACUAAAUAAGAGGUCCAGCCUGCCCAGUGAAAUUAUUCAACGGCCGCGGUAUCCUAACCGUGCGAAGGUAGCGUAAUCACUUGUUCUUUAAAUGAGGACUAGUAUGAAUGGCACCACGAGGGUUCUACUGUCUCCUUUUUUAAAUCAGUGAAACUAAUCUUCCCGUGAAGAAGCGGGAAUUUUUUUAUAAGACGAGAAGACCCUAUGGAGCUUUAAACAAAUGACAUUUGCUUAAUCUAAUAUUUUAUUUUCAAGAAAUAUAGCAUUAUGAUCUUUAGUUUUCGAUUGGGGUGAUCACGGAGAAAAAUUUAACCUCCACGCCGAAAGGGUUUAUUCCCUAAGCAAAAAGCUACAGCUUUAAGCACUAAAAAAUUAACGUAGUUUGAC
rnacentral:rRNA from 1 species